AUGAUACUAGCAGGAGAGAUCUGGGUGGUCCAGACGCCGAAGGAGAAAAUCUCUUGAAGUCGCUUUUCAAGAGGGGAAACUCUCAGGCAAAGGUACGGCUAGUAGACG
rnacentral:ncRNA from 19 species